rnacentral:rRNA from 1 species
GGCUCAGGAYRAACGCUGGCGGCAUGCCUAAUACAUGCAAGUCGAACGGAGGUGCUUGCACCUCAGUGGCGAACGGGUGAGUAACACGUAUCUAAUCUACCUUCUAGCGGGGGAUAACUUUUGGAAACGAAAGGUAAUACCGCAUGUGGAUGUUAUUAUCGCAUGAGAAAACAUUCAAAGAUCCGUUUGGAUCACUAGAAGAUGAGGAUGCGGCGUAUUAGCUAGUAGGCGGGGUAAARGCCCACCUAGGCGAUGAUACGUAGCCGAACUGAGAGGUUGAUCGGCCACAUUGGGACUGAGAUACGGCCCAGACUCCUACGGGAGGCAGCAGUAGGGAAUUUUUCACAAUGGACGAAAGUCUGAUGAAGCAAUGCCGCGUGAGUGAUGACGGCCUUCGGGUUGUAAAGCUCUGUUGUAAGGGAAGAAAACAUAGGAGAGGAAAUGCUCUUAUCUUGACGGUACCUUACCAGAAAGCCACGGCUAACUAUGUGCCAGCAGCCGCGGUAAUACAUAGGUGGCAAGCGUUAUCCGGAUUUAUUGGGCGUAUAGGGUGCGUAGGCGGUUUCGCAAGUUUGAGGUUAAAGCCCGGAGCUCAACUCCGGUUCGCCUUGAAAACUGCGGGACUAGAAUAUCAGAGAGGUAAGCGGAAUUCCAUGUGUAGCGGUAAAAUGCGUAGAUAUAUGGAAGAACACCAGUGGCGAAAGCGGCUUACUGGCUGAUUAUUGACGCUGAGGCACGAAAGCGUGGGGAGCAAAUAGGAUUAGAUACCCUAGUAGUCCACGCCGUAAACGUUGAGUACUAAGUAUUGGGGAUUACCUCAGUGCUGCAGCUAACGCAUUAAGUACUCCGCCUGAGUAGUAUGCUCGCAAGAGUGAAACUCAAAGGAAUUGACGGGGACCCGCACAAGUGGUGGAGCAUGUGGUUUAAUUCGAAGCAACACGAAGAACCUUACCAGGGCUUGACAUACAGUGCAAAGCUACAGAGAUGUAGUGGAGGUUAACAUUGAUACAGGUGGUGCAUGGUUGUCGUCAGUUCGUGCCGUGAGGUGUUGGGUUAAGUCCCGCAACGAACGCAACCCUUGUCGUUAGUUACUAACAUUAAGUUGAGGACUCUAACGAGACUGCUAGUGUAAGCUAGAGGAAGGUGGGGAUGACGUCAAAUCAUCAUGCCCCUUAUGUCCUGGGCUACACACGUGCUACAAUGGCCGAUACAAAGAGUCGCAAUCUCGCGAGRGGGAGCUAAUCUCAAAAAGUCGGUCUCAGUUCGGAUUGAAGUCUGCAACUCGACUUCAUGAAGCCGGAAUCACUAGUAAUCGCGAAUCAGCUAUGUCGCGGUGAAUACGUUCUCGGGUCUUGUACACACCGCCCGUCAAACCACGAGAGUUGGUAAUACCAGAAGUACGUUUCCUAACCGUAAGGAAGGCGCGUCCCAAGGUAGGACUAGCGAUUGGGGUUAAGUCGUAACAAGGUAUCCGUACGGGAACGUGCGGRUGGAUCACCUCCUUUC